rnacentral:rRNA from 1 species
UGGUAUUGAGACACGGACCCAAACUCUACGGGAAGGCAGCAGUGAAGAAUAUGGGUCAAUGGCCGAGAGGCUGAACCAGCCAAGUCGCGUGAGGGAUGAAGUUUCUAUGGAUCGUAAACCUCUUUUAUAAGGGGAUAAAGUGCGGGACGUGUCCCGUUUUGUAUGUACNUUAUGAAUAAGGAUCGGCUAACUCCGUGCCAGCAGCCGCGGUAAUACGGAGGAUCCGAGCGUUAUCCGGAUUUAUUGGGUUUAAAGGGUGCGUAGGCGGCCCCUUAAGUCAGCGGUGAAAGUCUGUGGCUCAACCAUAGAAUUGCCGUUGAAACUGGGAGGCUUGAGUAUGUUUGAGGCAGGCGGAAUGCGUGGUGUAGCGGUGAAAUGCAUAGAUAUCACGCAGAACCCCGAUUGCGAAGGCAGCCUGCCAAGCCAUUACUGACGCUGAUGCACGAAAGCGUGGGGAUCAAACAGGAUUAGAUACCCUGGUAGUCCACGCAGUAAACGAUGAUCACUAGCUGUUUGCGAUACACUGUAAGCGGCACAGCGAAAGCGUUAAGUGAUCCACCUGGGGAGUACGCCGGCAACGGUGAAACUCAAAGGAAUUGACGGGGGCCCGCACAAGCGGAGGAACAUGUGGUUUAAUUCGAUGAUACGCGAGGAACCUUACCCGGGUUUGAACGCAUUCGGACCGAGGUGGAAACACCUUUUCUAGCAAUAGCCGUUUGCGAGGUGCUGCAUGGUUGUCGUCAGCUCGUGCCGUGAGGUGUCGGCUUAAGUGCCAUAACGAGCGCAACCCUUGCCACUAGUUACUAACAGGUAAAGCUGAGGACUCUGGUGGGACUGCCAGCGUAAGCUGCGAGGAAGGCGGGGAUGACGUCAAAUCAGCACGGCCCUUACAUCCGGGGCGACACACGUGUUACAAUGGCGUGGACAAAGGGAGGCCACCUGGCGACAGGGAGCGAAUCCCCAAACCACGUCUCAGUUCGGAUCGGAGUCAGCAACCCGACUCCGUGAAGCUGGAUU